rnacentral:lncRNA from 1 species
UUCUGAUAUUUUUUUCUUCUUGUAUUGUUGUGACCUGUGUGGCUUUGUACUCUAGUAAUUAAGAAACUACUAUAACUAAGCUCUCUGGACCUUUGCCUCACACAGUAUCAUACCCAGUUCAUGUUUUACUUGUAUCUCAAAAUCAUCUUACAUCUUGCCUUCAUUGUUUUCUGUUUGCUAUCUUCUGCAGGAGGAGGCUUCUGCAAUUAAGUCUGCAAGUAAGACAUGGUACAAGACCAUGAUCUCAGAUAGUGAUUACACCGAAUUUGAGAACUUCUCAAAGUGGUUGGGCGUCUCCCAGUGAUUUAUCUCUGUUUGCAGUCUUCUAGAACCUGUUUUGUUAUCAUUUAUUUGUUUUACUCGUUUCUCUUGUUUUUUUUUUUCUGGAUUUUAAGACAUUAAGGCGAUCAUAUUUGAGGGGAAUUACAGCAAUAACUUUUCUUCAAUUAAGUUCUUGGACUAGCCCUUCCUUAUAAUUUGGCGUCGUAGUUUAUGGCUAGUUUGAGAAAUUUUAGUUCAGGAGUGUCGUUGAUUGCUAGUACUUUGCAUUUUCGUGAUCCAAUUUUGGUUGUUUACUUAUGUGAUGAGUUUUUGGUUUGUUCUGCUUCUCCAUUUUUGCCUGUUUAUCUGCUUGUCUUUCUUUGUGCGUUA